GUCAAAGUCAAAGUUUUUGUUCAGUACUUAUUUACAAACCAGCUACUAAAAAUGGGAAAGUUUAUAAUUUCAUUGCUGUUUGCCACAAUCACAAUUUGUGCAGUAAAUUCUUAUUAUUUGGAUGCUCUAGGUAAUGCCGUUUGUGAAACAAUAAUAUGUUCACCCCUAGAAAGGUGCACCUUUCAUCCAGUACUAAGAAGAGAACGAUGUGUAGCCAAAAAUACUGCACCGCCUUUAACUGUUGAUGAUCUUGAAUUGUUGAUUGUGUGAAAAGGAAAUGUAACGAAUAUAUUUUAAUAAAUAAUCAAGCAAUAAAUAAUCUAUCUGUCUAGAAACGAAA